rnacentral:lncRNA from 1 species
CUGCUUCACAUCGCAAAUCAGCCAUACAGCUUCUAACUUUAAAUCACCGUAAGUUCGCGACCAGCGAGCCUGUGAGGGCUCGCACAGCAAACAAAGCUCCACUUCUCAACAGUAUAUCAUUAAAGAUUAUUUCGAAUCCAUGGAGAUGGUGUCGACUCUUACGCAAUACACCCGCAAAUUCCUUCAACUUUCAUUCACUUCUUUCCACUCAGGAAAA